UUAGAAAUAUAUUAAAUAAUUAUUAUAUAUAUAUAUAAAUUUUAAAAACAUAUAUUACUAUUUUAUAUAGAUAAAUAUUUUUUUUUACAAACCAAAAAUGAAUAUCCGGAUGCACAGGAUCAAGCUCUAGUUUAACUUAUAAUACAAUUGAUUUGGGCUUUGCGUAUGGGCUUAGGUUUUAGGAAUGGUAUUUUAAUUUUGUCUGAAUCCAUUUUGAAGCCUUUGAAAAACUUUCUUCUACACGACAAACAGUGGUGGUGAGAAUUACGGUUAGCCGUCGUCUUCUAUCUUCGCCAUGAACGAGCUUGAACAACAAUGGAGAUCAAAUCAAUUCAGCCGAAUCGUCCUCGAGAACAUUGGUAUCAAGCAGCCGUCGUUUCGUAUUUGGUACUUAACCCCAGACGUUACGAGUUUGAAGACUGGUCACUGCUCUUCCACCGUCCAUGUGCGGUUGCUCCGAUUCUGGGAAGAUGAUUUGGGCUGGAGGUUUUGAGCAGUUUCAUUAUAUUGCAAAGCAUCUUCAACGAGUCCCUGAUAUAUUAGUUUGCAACUACAUUAGAUAUCGUUCUUCAGUACUUUCAGAAUAACAAUGUGUGUCUUAGUGUUAUCAGGGAGACAACGAUGGUCUUGGAGAUGAUAUGAACGGUGGAAGCUCAACUUAGCUUAAUCUAAAAAUGUUAUGAAAGAUAAAGGCAAACCUGCUUUAUUUAACAAGAUUCUCCUAGAAGAGAUAAAUGGCAAGGAGUGAUUGAAGCUUCAAGUUACGUACAUGCUCCAUCAAUCAGGCAGAACUUGAUUAAAAUAAAACAUAAAAUUGUAGAUGAGAUUAGUGAACGUGUUAUCUUCAGUUACCAUUGUUCCUUAGACUUGAUAUACUAACGUUUUGUUUUUUUUAUAUGAAAGAAAUCUGAGAUCUCGCAGUUUGUGAA